AUUAAUCAAUCAGCUUUGAUAUCCGGGAAAUGUGCCUAUAUUCCGGGGCUGGAGUGUGUGGUCGGCUACGCUAGACUGUUUUGCUUCUAAACGUUCGUUAUUAACUUAAUUUCAAUAGUGAGCAGGACAUAUAUUCAAACUUACAUUCGUUUCGCAGUAAAGAACAUCCACCAUAGAAAGGGCUGCGUUGACAAUUGACAGCGCAUAUCGUGAAAUUGGAUCUCAGCUGACAAGGACUGGAACUUGUGGACACACGUGAUCAAUUUAAAGCGUUUCAUCGUCAUUAUCUAUCUGCUGCCUUCGACACUGUGAACCAUCAGAUCCUCCUCUCCACCCUCUCAGGGCUGGGUGUCUCAGGCUUUGUCUUGGAUUGCAUCCUACCUGGCAGGCCUCUCCUACCAGGUGGUGACACACAUCUCUGCGUACCUGGCAGAUAUCUCAGCUUGGAUGUCUGCCCACCACCUCAAGCUCAAACUCGACAAGACGGCGCUGCUCUUCCUCCUGUGGAAGGCUGCCCACUCCAGGACCUCUCCAUCACUGUGUCCCCCUCCCAGAACGCAAAGAACAUUGGCGUGACCCUGGACAACACCCUGUGGUUCUCUGCAAACAUCCAUUCUCUGCAAACAUCAAAGCAGUGACUUACUCCAGCAUGUUCAUGCUCUACAACAUCCGUAGAGUAUGACCCUACCUCAAACAGGAAGUGGCACAUGUCCUAAUCCAGGCACUUGUCUUCUCUCAUCUGGACUACUGUAACUCGCUGUUGGUUGGGCUCACCGCUUGUGCCAUCAAACCCCUGCAACUCAUAAAGAAUGUUACAGCCCACCUGGUGUUUAGUCUUCCCAACUUCUCCCACAUCACCCCACUCCUCCGCACACUCAACUGGCUUCCAGUUGAAGCUUGCAUCCACUACAAGACCAUGGUACUUGAAGCAGCAAUUGGAACUGCCCCUCCAUACCUUCAGGUUAUGCUUCCUCCUGAAGCUAGGACAGCAGAGUCCCUCCCCAUCUUCUGAAAACAUCUGAAACCCAACUUGUUCAAGAGUAUCUUGAAUAAUCCCAAAGAACCCCCUCUCACACCCCUUCCUCACCCCGAUGCUGCAGCCCGGCCUCCUAGUGUUCAACCUUCCCAAGAUCGCACACUUUAAUGGCUUGCAGUCGAAGCUCGCAUCCACUACAAGACCAUGGUAAUUGCCUAUGGAGCAGCAAGAGGAACUGCCCCUCCCUACCUUCAGGCUAUGCUCAAACCCUACACUCCAACCGUAGCACUCUCUUCUGUCACCUCUGGUCUUUUUGCCCUCCCACACCUACGGAAGGACAGCUCCCGCUCAGCCCAGUAAAUUCUCUUCUCCAUCCUGGCACGCCAAUGUUGUAACCUGCUUCCUCCUGAAGCUAGGACAGCACUGCCCACAUUCCGAAAACAUCUGAAAUAAAUGUGAUCAAAAUGCCAUUGCGCUUUCUUUUAGAGUCUAUCAUGAUCCAGUUCCAACAUCUCAAAAUCAUACAACAAAUUAGGGCGUUUUUGUUAUGAUAAAAGGUGAAUGGAGGGCGUUUUCCAGCCGGGGAUGUAGUGCUCGUC